rnacentral:rRNA from 1 species
AUGAAUAUGUUUUAUUCAGAAGCAAAGGGCAGUGCAGUAUGGUAUCCACUUGCAAUUUGUAGAUCAGAUAAUGGUUCACAUAAUAUUAUGCCUGAGUACCUCAGUAAUUCUGUCUACAAAAAGUACCUCAUUAAUCAGUGGCCACCAUUGGGGCAAGUAGGGUCGGACGGCCCAGGUCUCAAGUGGCGGAGCAGGGUAAUCCCCUGUCUAGCGACCAGCGGGUGCAUCGACAUUGAUCUCUGUUGCCAUCCGUCGCCCCGGCAAACCACAGUUUCUAGGUCGGACACUGAAGAAACAAUGAAAAGAAAAGGUGGACCACAUAGCAAGGAAUGUGAGAAACCUGCCAAGAUGGUUAAGAACAAUCAAAUAUGCAAUCCAACAAGACAGUCAACAAAAAUGGCAAGAUUAGAAAGGAGAAUCAAACUUCAAGCAAAGAAAAUGAGACAGCUUUCGAUCAUAAAUGGAGAAGUGCCAGACCGCGCAACUAUACUAGAAGAACAACUUUUAAUCCAUGUGAAGGACAAAGCUAAAGAGGCAAGGCUGUAUCGGAAAAGAAAAAUGCAAAGCAAGAGGGUUGCAGAAACAACGACAGAAAAUGAAGCAAUGAUUGGCCAGGCUGGUAAGACUACAAGAAAAUUGAACAGGACAUUGGAAAGGACUGAUAUGGAAAUUUGGAACUUCGGAGAACCAAGCUGCAAGUGUGAACGAUGUGGUGCAAUUUUCUGGUACGAAGAAACAACUUCAGGUAGAGCGAGAAGGAUGCCAUCUUUCGGACUAUGUUGCCAACAGGGCAAGGUCGAUUUGCCACCAUUCAGAGAGCCGCCGGCUUACCUUACGAAAUUGCUAAGGAAAGACAACGGAAAGAGGUCAAAAAACUACAUGCAAAAUAUCAGAUUGUACAACUCCAUGUUCGCUUUCACAACAAUGGGAGGAAAGGUAGACACAGAAAUAAAUAAUGGCGGUGGUCCUUAUGUUUUUAGAAUGAAUGGGCAAAACUACCACAGAAUAGGUACUCUACUACCUGAAGGUGAAGAUAAACCACGCUGGGCACAGUUGUAUAUCUAUGACACCGAAAAUGAGGUAAAAAACAGGAUUAAUGCGUCAACAUCAGAAGAUAAAAGGGAGUCGAUAGAUCCUCACAUCGUCGAGGGCCUUAAAAAUAUGCUGGAUAGAAAUAAUAUACUUGCAAAAACAUUCAGAAUGGCAAGGGACAGAUUCGAAGAAGGUGACUAUCACAACGUGAGAUUAAAACUAAUCAAUAAGCGACGCACAGAUGUAAGACGGAAUGACAUGCCAUCUGCAACUGAAGUUGUAGCAUUGAUUGUGAAUGAUACGGCAGAAAAUAGAAAAGGACGGGAUAUCAUUGUUCAGUACAGAGACACAAGGCCGAGAAGAAUAUCAGAGAAGCAUCCAAAAUUCAUGGCUAUGCAGUAUCCACUAUUGUUCCCCUAUGGAGAAGAUGGGUACAGAGAAAAUAUACCCUACAUAUUAAAAGAAGGUGCAAAAUGCAAGAGAAAGCAUGUAACAAUGCUGGAAUACUAUGCGUAUCGUAUACAACAACGUACUAACCAAUCAAUGCACUUGCUGAUGUGUGAAAAGCUUACAUUGCAGUUCAUUGUGGAUGCCCUUGCAUGCAUUUUGCAGUAUAGGCUAGACUGGAUCAAAACACAUCAAGGAAACCUAAGAACGGAAUUAUAUGCUGGCUUGCAGGACACAAUAGAUAGAGGAGAUACAAGGGCUGACCAAGUAGGAAAGAGGAUACUACUGCCAUCCACCUUCACAGAUAGCCCUAGAUACAAGGCACAAAACUUCCAAGAUGCUAUGGCAAUAUGUCGGUGGGCUGGAUACCCAGACCUAUUUGUGACAUUCACGUGCAACACAGCUUGGCCGGAGAUUCAAGCUAUGCUACAGGAAGUAGGCCAAACAGCAUAUGAAAGACCUGAUAUUGUUGAUCGAGUGUUCCACAUAAAGCUCAAGGAGUUCAUGAGAGACAUAAGAGAAAGGGGAUACUUUGGAAAAACACUUGCAAUUAUAUACGCAAUAGAGUUCCAAAAAAGGGGCCUCCCACAUGCCCACAUAGUCAUAUUCCUCGACAAAAAGGAAAAGAAACACAAGUAUCCUGAACCACCAGAGGUUGACAGGGUAACUUGUGCAGAGAUCCCAGACAAGGACAUUGAUCCAGAAGGAUAUGCAGCUGUUGAAAACUACAUGAUACAUGGGCCAUGUGGUGCAGCCAACACAAAGUCACCAUGCAUGGUCGAUAACAGAUGUAUGAGAUGUUAG